AGAGUUUGAUCCUGGCUCAGGACGAACGCUGGCGGCGUGCUUAACACAUGCAAGUCGAACGGAGUGUCCCAGACAGAGGUUUCGGCCAACGGAAGGGAACACUUAGUGGCGGACUGGUGAGUAACGCGUGAGGAACCUGCCUUUCAGAGGGGGACAACGGUUGGAAACGACUGCUAAUACCGCAUGACGCAUUUGGGUGGCAUCACCUGAAUGCCAAAGAUUUAUCGCUGUAAGAUGGCCUCGCGUCUGAUUAGCUAGUUGGUGGGGUAACGGCCCACCAAGGCGACGAUCAGUAGCCGGACUGAGAGGUUGACCGGCCACAUUGGGACUGAGAUACGGCCCAGACUCCUACGGGAGGCAGCAGUGGGGAAUAUUGGGCAAUGGACGCAAGUCUGCCCCAGCAACGCCGCGUGAAGGAAGAAGGCUUUCGGGUUGUAAACUUCUUUUAAGUGGGAAGAGCAGAAGACGGUACCACUUGAAUAAGCCACGGCUAACUACGUGCCAGCAGCCGCGGUAAUACGUAGGUGGCAAGCGUUGUCCGGAUUUACUGGGUGUAAAGGGCGUGUAG
rnacentral:rRNA from 1 species